GAUGAACGCUGGCGGCGUGCCUAAUACAUGCAAGUCGAGCGAACGGACGAGAAGCUUGCUUCUCUGAUGUUAGCGGCGGACGGGUGAGUAACACGUGGAUAACCUACCUAUAAGACUGGGAUAACUUCGGGAAACCGGAGCUAAUACCGGAUGAUAUUUUGAACCGCAUGGUUCAAAAGUGAAAGACGGUCUUGCUGUCACUUAUAGAUGGAUCCGCGCUGCAUUAGCUAGUUGGUAAGGUAACGGCUUACCAAGGCAACGAUGCAUAGCCGACCUGAGAGGGUGAUCGGCCACACUGGAACUGAGACACGGUCCAGACUCCUACGGGAGGCAGCAGUAGGGAAUCUUCCGCAAUGGGCGAAAGCCUGACGGAGCAACGCCGCGUGAGUGAUGAAGGUCUUCGGAUCGUAAAACUCUGUUAUUAGGGAAGAACAUAUGUGUAAGUAACUGCGCACAUCUUGACGGUACCUAAUCAGAAAGCCGCGGCUAACUACGUG
rnacentral:rRNA from 1 species